CAGGGGGACAACCCGCCGAAAGGCGGGCUAAACCCGCGUACAUGCCACCGGGGCAUCCCGGAGGCAGGAAAGGCUUCGGCCGGACAGGGAUGGGCAUGCGGCGCAUUAGGCAGUAGGCGGGGUAACGGCCCACCUAACCGACGAUGCGUAGGGGUUCUGAGAGGAAGGUCCCCCACACUGGUACUGAGACACGGACCAGACUCCUACGGGAGGCAGCAGUGAGGAAUAUUGGUCAAUGGUCGGGAGACUGAACCAGCCAAGCCGCGUGAGGGAGGAAGGUACAGAGUAUCGUAAACCUCUUUUGUCAGGGAACAAAGACUGGGACGCGUCCCCGGAUGAGUGUACCUGAAGAAAAAGCAUCGGCUAACUCCGUGCCAGCAGCCGCGGUAAUACGGAGGAUGCGAGCGUUAUCCGGAUUUAUUGGGUUUAAAGGGUGCGCAGGCGGUCUGUUAAGUCAGCGGUCAAAGCCCGGGGCUCAACCCCGGCCCGCCGUUGAAACUGGCAGUCUCGAGUUGGAGGGAAGUAUGCGGAAUGCGCGGUGUAGCGGUGAAAUGCAUAGAUAUCGCGCAGAACUCCGAUUGCGAAGGCAGCAUGCCGGCUCCACACUGACGCUGAGGCACGAAAGCGUGGGUAUCGAACAGGAUUAGAUACCCUGGUAGUCCACGCAGUAAACGAUGAAUGAUGGCUGUCCGGGGGGACUGACCCCUGGGUGGCGAAG
rnacentral:rRNA from 1 species